UGCGCAGGCGGUUCGUGAUGUCUGAUGUGAAAGCCCCGGGCUCAACCUGGGAAUUGCAUUGGAAACUAGCGGGCUGGAGUGUGGCAGAGGGGGGUGGAAUUCCACGUGUAGCAGUGAAAUGCGUAGAGAUGUGGAGGAACACCGAUGGCGAAGGCAGCCCCCUGGGCUAACACUGACGCUCAUGCACGAAAGCGUGGGGAGCAAACAGGAUUAGAUACCCUGGUAGUCCACGCCCUAAACGAUGGCAACUGGGUGUUGGGGAAGCGAUUUCUCAGUACCGUAGCUAACGCGUGAAGUUGCCCGCCUGGGGAGUACGGCCGCAAGGUUAAA
rnacentral:rRNA from 1 species